rnacentral:rRNA from 1 species
AUUGAACGCUGGCGGCAUGCCUUACACAUGCAAGUCGAACGGCAGCACGGGUGCUUGCACCUGGUGGCGAGUGGCGAACGGGUGAGUAAUACAUCGGAACGUAUCUUAUCGUGGGGGAUAACGCAGCGAAAGCUGUGCUAAUACCGCAUACGCCCUGAGGGGGAAAGCGGGGGAUCGAAAGACCUCGCGCGACUAGAGCGGCCGAUGCCUGAUUAGCUUGUGGGUGGGGUAAAAGCCCACCAAGGCGACGAUCAGUAGCUGGUCUGAGAGGACGAUCAGCCACACUGGGACUGAGACACGGCCCAGACUCCUACGGGAGGCAGCAGUGGGGAAUUUUGGACAAUGGGGGCAACCCUGAUCCAGCAAUGCCGCGUGAGUGAAGAAGGCCUUCGGGUUGUAAAGCUCUUUUGUCAGGGAAGAAACACCGGCUCUAACACAGUCCGGGAAUGACGGUACCUGAAGAAUAAGCACCGGCUAACUACGUGCCAGCCGCCGCCGUAA